rnacentral:lncRNA from 1 species
GAUAUUAGGAGCUGAAAAGGAGGGAAGGUGGAUUUCUUUGAUUUUUCCAGACGUCAUUGUUGAAAGGGCAUCACUACAGACCGUUUGAAGGACACGGACUAUAUCCAUUUGUUUUGUGACCUCUGCUGGCUACAAACCUGAGCACAGAUGCUUGACCUAUUGUGAGUAAGAAAGUCGUCUGUAAUGCAACCCCUCUUUGUCUUUACUUAAGAAAGAUAUAAACCACAAGCGGGUAGGAACAGAAGCAGCGUUUGUUUUCGUAGGCAAGUGUUCUACCCUGGUUCAGAACCCGUAAGCCCUGUCAGUCUGAUUUUGUUCAUUUAAAUUCCCUGAGUCGCUUUGUGAUGGCGGUGGGUACUCAGUGAGUCACCUAGGGAUUCUGAGGACGAUUACAGGCAGAACAAUACAGAGAUGCAUCGAGGUUCAGUAUAAAAUGCUAUGUCCCAUUCAUUAUAAGCAGACAUCUAUUUGGUCUUACAGUGGCUUUAUCCCUUGUGCAUCUUAUCGAAAUUCAGUCCUAAUAUGAUAGUUUUUAAUCUUUAAAUAGAAACGAAUUGGAGAGGAGUAAUGAGACACCAUUUGGGAUUGUUGGCAAUUUUAAAUGUUCAAAAACCAAAAUCACACAAGCAAGAGAACAGUGAGCCCCAUCCUGCUGACUAGAUGAUCUAGCCAGCAGUUGGUGCUGGCACCAAAUUAUUAGCCAGACUGG